CCUGGUGAUUUAACUUGAUGUGUCCCACCUCUUCCCAUUCCGAACAGAGCCGUGAAAGCAUCAGGUUCCGAUGAUACUUGAAUCCUUGCGAUUUCGGGAAAGUAGGAUUUGCCAGGA
rnacentral:rRNA from 1 species